rnacentral:misc_RNA from 1 species
UACGAGGGGUCCAAGCGUUGUUCGGAAUUACUGGGCGUAAAGCGGGUGUAGGCGGCCAUGCAAGUCGAAUGUGAAAGCCCAGGGCUUAACCCUGGAUGUGCAUCCGAUACUGCGUGGCUUGAGUACUGGAGAGGGAAGUGGAAUUCCUGGUGCAGCGGUGAAAUGCGUAGAUAUCAGGAGGAACAUCGGUGGCGAAGGCGGCUUCCUGGCCAUGUACUGACGCUCAGGCCCGAAAGCGUGGGUAGCAAACAGG